rnacentral:lncRNA from 1 species
CUCGAUGGGGCUCAGGAUGUCGGACACGGAGAAGGGCGUCGUGUGCUUUGGGCUCAACGACAUGGCUCGGCGGGCAGCCAGGUCUUUUAUGAACUUGAAACACAUCGGCUAGGUCUUCAUCCUCACCUGCACUGGAAUUACCUACUUAAGAAAAACAAACUAAUGAUACACAAAGAAGCACUUAUGUAUGUAUUUAAACACUUGCUGGGAUCCUUCUGAAAACUACAGUUUGAAUUUUACGUUUCCGGUUUAGUUUAAAUUGUAUUGUUUACUUGUAUGUAUUAGCUUAAAUAAAAUAAUAGUCAUUUCAAAUGUUUCUCAGAGACAACAGGGUAAGUAAAAAAUAGUUGUGUUAUGACAUCUGUGAAUAUAAAAGUUAUUUGUGGCCCAUUAUAUUUUAUUUUUCAAGUUCAAACGUAUUUCAAAUAUGAAACGCAUUAUCAUAAUCUCCAUAUUGAUUAGUUGUCCAAGUUGAAAAGUGUUUACAAUUUUAAUUUUUUCCAGAUGAUUAUUACUCUGUUUUCAGGCUAUAAAUUUCAUCUCAUGUAAUUUUCUUUGUAGAACUUUGACAUAGCAGUUAACAUCAAGUGGUUGUACUACAAUUUUUGCUUAUUUUGUUUUUCAACUGCAUUGGGUCCUGUUAUAAGUGCAUAUACAUCUGGAAUGCUUCCAUCUUUAAAUUAAAAGCACUUUAUCACAUCUGAAGGUUCUCUGCAGAGAGUCACUUUCUGACUGCUUAGGAACUUGAUAAGCCAAAUAGUAUUCCAUCACUGUAGGUAAACAGUUCUGGGAAAGAAAAAUCUACAGUCUUUGACAAUUCUUCCUGUCAAUUGUUUGUACCUCAUUCUAGAAAUUACAUAUCUUCAUGCCGGAAACACUAUUUGGAUGCGUGUGGAUGAUUCUGAAAAUUGAUAUAGUCUGAAGGAUGUAUAUGUACAUUUAUAUAUAGA